rnacentral:lncRNA from 1 species
ACCGACAAUAGGAAUGGUUCAUUUUGAUUCCGAUUCAGAUGGUGAACCAAACAGAAUGAGAUAAUGAGUCAUUCCGAUUCCGAUUCCAGCUUAUUCCCAUUCCGUUUCCGAUUUCGAUUCCGACUUCGAACCAAACACGCCCCUAGAGUAAUGCUUCAAUACACCAGGUAAAUUAAAUUUAGUCCUUCAUAUUUCAAGGGCGAGAUUGUCUUUUAUAUAGUGGUACCUGCUCAACAGGUUACCAUUCGUAAGGGUAAUAUAGGAAAACAAAUAAAAGCUAAUUACCAAAUUUGAUCAACCCUACAUAAAUAUAUGUUUUCUUGUUUAAUUUUGUUACUUACCAAAUUAGAUAGUACUAAUUUGAUAAGUAACAAAUCUUUAUAAAAUUGAAUUUAAAAAU